rnacentral:rRNA from 1 species
AACGAACGCUGGCGGCAGGCUUAACACAUGCAAGUCGAACGCCCCGCAAGGGGAGUGGCAGACGGGUGAGUAACGCGUGGGAAUCUACCCAUCUCUACGGAAUAACUCAGGGAAACUUGUGCUAAUACCGUAUACGCCCUUCGGGGGAAAGAUUUAUCGGAGAUGGAUGAGCCCGCGUUGGAUUAGCUAGUUGGUGGGGU